rnacentral:lncRNA from 1 species
GAGCAGCCACUCCCUCAUCUCAUUUCAGCCGACACCCCUCUUUCCUUUUCUUCCUUCACUCUCGAACACAUAAACCAAAUCACAGGGAACCAAACCUGUCAUCUCUCCCUCUCCGAUUUGGGUUCACCGACGAGUCAACCACGACGGCGCUUCGUUUUCUGGCGAUUCAGAGCUGGUCGAGCUCCAACUGAUGUGGAUUCAGUCCAAUUCCUGUUCGAGUCUCCAUUUCGGGUUAGAUUUGAGACCAGACCUUGUGUUGUUUGCUCCGACGACUCUCUUCCGGUUCAUUAACGAUGGCAUAACCGUCGAACGUCGAGAACAGCAGCGGUGCUGGGCGUUUCGUCUGCGGCGGCGACGGCGAAGUGGGUUCAGCUCCGGGUUGUUUUCAUCUCAGACCCGGUACAGUGGUGGUGUUAGCUCGGGUUGGUAACGGGACUGGUUCUGUUUAGAUUCCGGUUCGGGUCGUCUAGAAUCGAUCUUGCUUCAGGUCAGUUUUGGAUUCGGAUUGUAUUUUGUUUAAAUUCCGAUUCAGCACAGGUUGUUUUAUUAUUUCAGUUCGUUCGGGUUCACGACACGGGGUAGCUCGGUUCAUUCGUUUCAGUUUUGGUUUCGGUUCUAUGUUCGGGUCAAAUCUGGUCAACAACGGUCAAAUAGUCAACACGGGUCAAACCCGGUCAACUGACGGGUCGACGGUUCAUCCGAGACUUGGGUGACCUCGGUGUUCCAUCCUCCAAAUCCCUUUCACUCGUCAACAAUCGGAUAAUCGGAAGAAUUUGCAAUAUUGUCACAUUUUAGAAACUAUGGCACGGUUGGAAUAGGUGAACCAUUGGAGAAUCGAGUACUUAGCAGGCGUUCAAUUUAUAGAAGUCUUAGCUUAUUUUGCUUCCGCUGUGCAAUGAAGAUACCAGUCCAGUCACGCUAGCUCUGAUAAUUUCGGGGUGUGACAGAAAUGCGGUCAAUCUUUAUAUAUCUUUUGAAUGGAUUCGCAAAAACUAUAACUAAAUGAAUAAGCCUAAGAAAGAUCUCUUUACCUUCAAUCUUCAUUAAAGUGCAAUCAAAUAUUUUUUAAGUACAAAAAGUGGAAUCUGGUUCUCAACCAAUAUCAAGUCUCUCAUCACAUUUGGGAUUACCAACCUUUCUCCCCCAAAUGAUAUCUUACCAUCUUCAGACUUCGACUUCAAUAGAUCAAAAAGGAAUUCUAAUAUGAAAAGUGCAUUGACAACAAUAAUAUCAGCAAAUUUUCUAUCACAUUGUUAAUAACGAUCAACAUCAUGAAUAUCUCCAUUGUCAUCGUAAUCCAUAUCACUUUUAUCAUCUUCAUUGUCCUCAACAGUCUUGGUCAAAUCAUAACAUGCUUUGAUUUUUUUU